AAGUGAUCUUCAUUGUUGGCGCCG
rnacentral:siRNA from 1 species